UACGAAGGGGACUAGCGUUGUUCGGAAUUACUGGGCGUAAAGCGCGCGUAGGCGGAUCGCUAAGUCAGGGGUGAAAUCCCAGGGCUCAACCCUGGAACUGCCUUUGAUACUGACGAUCUGGAGAUCGGGAGAGGUUGGUGGAAUUCCGAGUGUAGAGGUGAAAUUCGUAGAUAUCAGGAGGAACACCGGUGGCGAAGGCGGCUUUCUGGACGACAACUGACGCUGAGACGCGAAAGCGUGGGGAGCAAACAGG
rnacentral:rRNA from 1 species